rnacentral:rRNA from 1 species
CCUACGGGCGGCAGCAGUGGGGAAUAUUGCACAAUGGGCGCAAGCCUGAUGCAGCCAUGCCGCGUGUGUGAAGAAGGCCUUCGGGUUGUAAAGCACUUUCAGCGGGGAGGAAGGCGGUGAGGUUAAUAACCUCAUCGAUUGACGUUACCCGCAGAAGAAGCACCGGCUAACUCCGUGCCAGCAGCCGCGGUAAUACGGAGGGUGCAAGCGUUAAUCGGAAUUACUGGGCGUAAAGCGCACGCAGGCGGUCUGUCGAGUCGGAUGUGAAAUCCCCGGGCUCAACCUGGGAACUGCAUUCGAAACUGGCAGGCUAGAGUCUUGUAGAGGGGGGUAGAAUUCCAGGUGUAGCGGUGAAAUGCGUAGAGAUCUGGAGGAAUACCGGUGGCGAAGGCGGCCCCCUGGACAAAGACUGACGCUCAGGUGCGAAAGCGUGGGGAGCAAACAGGAUUAGAUACCCGUGUAGUC